AUUGAACGCUGGCGGUAUGCUUUACACAUGCAAGUCGAACGGUAGUGGGGCAACCCUUGAGAGUGGCGAACGGGUGAGUAAUACAUCGGAACGUGCCCAGUCGUGGGGGAUAACGUAGCGAAAGCUACGCUAAUACCGCAUACGACCUGAGGGUGAAAGCGGGGGACCUGCAAGGGCCUCGCGCGAUUGGAGCGGCCGAUGGCAGAUUAGGUAGUUGGUGAGGUAAAGGCUCACCAAGCCGACGAUCUGUAGCUGGUCUGAGAGGACGACCAGCCACACUGGGACUGAGACACGGCCCAGACUCCUACGGGAGGCAGCAGUGGGGAAUUUUGGACAAUGGGCGCAAGCCUGAUCCAGCCAUACCGCGUGCAGGAAGAAGGCCUUCGGGUUGUAAACUGCUUUUGUCAGGGAAGAAAUCUUCUGGGCUAAUACCCUGGGAGGAUGACGGUACCUGAAGAAUAAGCACCGGCUAACUACGUGCCAGCAGCCGCCGUAAGAC
rnacentral:rRNA from 1 species